CGGGUGAGUAACACGUGGGUAACCUACCCAUCAGAGGGGGAUAACACUUGGAAACAGGUGCUAAUACCGCAUAACAGUUUAUGCCGCAUGGCAUAAGAGUGAAAGGCGCUUUCGGGUGUCGCUGAUGGAUGGACCCGCGGUGCAUUAGCUAGUUGGUGAGGUAACGGCUCACCAAGGCCACGAUGCAUAGCCGACCUGAGAGGGUGAUCGGCCACACUGGGACUGAGACACGGCCCAGACUCCUACGGGAGGCAGCAGUAGGGAAUCUUCGGCAAUGGACGAAAGUCUGACCGAGCAACGCCGCGUGAGUGAAGAAGGUUUUCGGAUCGUAAAACUCUGUUGUUAGAGAAGAACAAGGACGUUAGUAACUGAACGUCCCCUGACGGUAUCUAACCAGAAAGCCACGGCUAACUACGUGCCAGCAGCCGCGGUAAUACGUAGGUGGCAAGCGUUGUCCGGAUUUAUUGGGCGUAAAGCGAGCGCAGGCGGUUUCUUAAGUCUGAUGUGAAAGCCCCCGGCUCAACCGGGGAGGGUCAUUGGAAACUGGGAGACUUGA
rnacentral:rRNA from 1 species